UAUGUACUAUGUAAGCUAUAAAGCUAAAAAUCUAAAAAAAAUAACUUAAAAUUGCUGUCAUUUGUCAAUUAAGCUUGAGCUGUCGGAUAAUUGUGUCAAAUGAAGACACUAAGCUAUUAAUUACUUAUAAGAGAAGGAGUUAUUUAGUGAAGUUAUCAUCAUAAUUUAUUCCCUGCCCUUCCAUUCUCUUUCCAAAAAGAAAGAAACAAAAAGUAGCCUUGUUCCAUCCGUUCCAAAAGAAAGAAGGAUGAAGAAUUUUUUUGUUAACUCCCAUCCGUUUCAAAACAAGUUCGGCUCCACAAUCAUCCCAAAAUCCAUUCUCAACUUCUUCAAUUACCAAGCAUACAAGAAGAAAUUAGAGUAAAAUAUUGUCCAAGAAAGGGUUUAAUUCAAGAUUGAAGCAAGGAUGAGACUAUAACAUCAAAUUAAGAGGUAAGCCAUGUGUUUUUGCUAUAUUCAUAUAACUUGAACAAAUAAUAUCUGUUAUCAUAAUUGCUAUGUUUUGGUUGUGGGAGAUUGUAUUUUUGAUAGAAUUGAAAGGAUUCUAGGGUAAUAAGGAUAUAAUUGAGUGGGAAAUUGGAUAUCAAACAUGUUCAAACCCGUAUGAAAUCUGAACUUUAAAGCUAUGCACACAAAAUGUUUGUUAAAAUGUCUCAAUGAGACUAUUAUGUUAAAACAUGAGAAUUGGUUAAAGCUCUGUGCUAGAUAAUGUACACAUGAGUUAUAAGAUAAAUCAAGUUGGUUAGAAAUUGAGUGUGUAUGUCUAUGUCAAAAAAAUAAUUUGACUUUGCAUUGGUGCUGUAAUAUUGUUAGGCAAGGUCUACGUCAACUUUCAAAUAGGCAAGAAAAAAAAACUGCUUAUAAUCUUGUGUAUCUUUUUAUAUACCUUAGAAUGUUUAUUGAUUUGGAAAUAUUAUUAUUUGAAGCUUCAACAUGAUGUUAAAAGUAAGAAUUUUCUGUUGAGACAUUUACCACGUACCGCUUUGUGAGUUCCAGAGUAGCUUAAUAGCUUUUACUAAACACUCAUAGUAGCUUUUAUUUACUACUUGAUGAUAGCAAAAGAAGAAGUCUCUUUGUUAGGAUUAGAUAAACUACAAGUCAUGAAAUAUAUUCCUAUUGCACUAGAUCCUAGCAAAAGUUACAUUGUUCAUAUACCACGGGAACUGAUUAGUGUGUUUCAAAUGAUAAAUAAGUACCUAAAUAAAGAGGGAAAAAUGUUGAAACAUUUAUUAGAUAGUCAUACCCAUUUACCAUCUGCUGCAUUAUUAUCAUUGCAGGGACAAAAGCAGUAGGUACAUGGUCCAUAAUGAAUGGGCCAUAUUGUUCUUUUUCUUCUCAUCUAUUUGCCUUAUUAACCUCCCGAGAUUAUGAAAAGGUAAAGAGUGCCAAAAUGAUUAAACUAGACACAUACUUGUGGACAAAUCCUCAAACAUUCCCAGUCACUCACUUCCAUUCUACACCACAUUCCUCAUACAAUGAUAAUAAAGUAUCUGGAAAAGCUCACUAUUAUUGAUAAUAUAGGUCAUUAUAAAGGAAAACUAGAAAGUGUAAAUUUAUGUUUUCCUCACCAACUCUUUCCUGAUUGGAAUAUAGGGGUCAGUCUUCACAAUUGUUGUCUAUUGUGGAUGGCUUCCUUUGUUUAGAAUAAAAUGAAUCUUGAUAUUGAUAUAAAUGAGGAUAUAUUGAACAAAGUGGCUAACAGAAAUCAGUUUUUUCUCUCUCCUUUUAAUUUCUAUAAUUUGAUUUCUUUUUGAAUUGCUAAGAUAAUGACCUGUGAAGUUAAUAAUAAUUGGGGAUGUAAUUGAAUCUACUGUGACUGUUACAGGAUGAUUACUGGGUUCUAAAACAAGUGGCCCAAAAAUCAGAUUAUGUGAACAGGUAUUUCUUUUUCCAGGGUCCUGUUAAUGUUUCCUUUCCACCGAUUUUGGUUGCACUUUGGUUAUUUAGGAUUAUAUGGAAAUUUAGGAUUUUAUAUAUGUAAAUUACCGAAGGAAAAAUCUGUCUUCCUUGUUUUGGUUAUUGAAGUUUUAUGCUCUCUACAUUCCACUUCAAGUUUCAAAACCAUGUCUGGAUGAUGGUAUUGUUAUUUGGAGUUAUAAUUGAGUUACUAGCUGAAUACAAUUUUAAAUUCAUAACAUGCUAGGUUCAUAUAGUUUGGCAGAUUCUCAGAAUUGAUGUGGUAUGACCUUUGCAGUCACCCCUACACAUGAAUGAUGUAUCUAGGACUCAAAUACCCCUCUCCUCGUUUUUGAAUUAAAGGAAAGGUCUUGGGUUGAUAUUUUUGGAUUAAGAAAUUCAUCAUGCCUUAUUUUUCAAUGCUUGGAAGAAUCUUCUUCUCAGUUAACUAUCAAUGUACAAUUAUGAAAUUUGAUGAACUGGGGCAACUACCUUGAAAGGAUAAUUUGUAUCGAGUUAUUAAUAUUUUACAAAAAUUGAAUUUUAACAAUGGUCAACAUAGUCACUUGCUGUGAUUUACAUUUACGUUGUUUGUGUUUGUUUUUGUGUAUGUGCGUGUAUAUAUUUAUUAUAUUUCUUUUUUGACUUGGUCAUUUGUUGUGAUUUUUAUGUUUGCCUUUGUAUGAGUAGCUAUGGAGGCUUGUGCCAUAUCUACGCUUACGAAAGACAAGGGACGAAAAUAUGAAGUGUACUCUCUAUAUAUGUAGAUAUAUAUUUUGAUUGAAGAACUGUGGUAGCUUUAGAUGGUUAAUUGUAAAGAUAAUGAAUGAAUAUGUAGUGGAUGAUUUUAUUAAGUUAAUAAUAUUUUAGUUUUUUGUAUUUUUGCCAUUAUUUGCUAUGGGGACAUUGAGCCAGCCAGAUACACAAAAAGAAUGUCAAAUUUUGAUUUGGCAAUAUUAUAAUUCGUUACUAAAGCAUUGAACAAGUUUUAAUAUAGCAAUAUUUUUUUUUACAUUUAGCAACAAAUUUUCGUUGCUAAUGACAUUAAAAAUAUAAUAUCUGGCAACGAAAAAUUAACAUAAUAACAACGGUGAGGAUAUUGUUGCUAAUACUAAAAUAAAAGGCAAUAUUUUUUAUCGUUGCAACUAAUAUCAACUUUCGUUGCACAUAUAAAGUAACGACAACAUAUAAUGUCGUUGCUAAUCGACGACUUUCGUUGCUAUUUAAAAAUAACCAGCAACAAACAUUUUUGUUUCGGAUUCAACAUAAUGUUGUUGCCAAAUAAUAUAAUCAGCAACGAAAAAUUGUUGCUAAAAAGUUUACAUUCCGCAACAAAAGCAAGCUUAGGCAAUAAUUUUUAUAAUUUAUUGCAACGAAAAAUGUCGUUGCAAAAUAGUGUCAAUUGCAACGAAAAUGCAUGGUCGUUGCAAAAAAUAAGGAGUUCAUUUUGUUGCCAAUUAGCAGGCUUUUGCAACGAAAUGGGAUUUUUAGCAAUGAAAUUUUAAUUAUUCUGCAACAAUACAUUUUGUUGCUAAAGGAUCGAUGUUUCUGUACGAAAGCUAAAUUUCGUUGCAAAAUGUAUUACUUUUGGCAACGAAAAAAAUAUGUUCGUUGCGGAACAAUUAGCAACGCUCAUUGCGCAACGAAAGACACAACGACAGUAAAGUCGUUGCCAAAACCCUUUUACAAUGAAAUUUGGCACCUUUAGCAACGAAAAUCGGUUGUAGUGUAUGACAGGUGAAAAUCCAUUUGCAGUUUCGUAUGUUAUUUCCUUUCAUAUUUUUAAAUCUAAACUUACUAUGGUAAGUAUUGCUUCUAUAAUCCUUGAAAUUAGUGGAAUAUCAUUGAGUUUUGUGCUUCAUCCAGUAUCGUUUUAUUGGAAUAUUGAUAUGAACUUUUUUAUUAAAUAUCAAUAUUUUCACCCGGAGUACUAUUCACGGGUUACUAUUCACCCAGUUACUAUUCACUAGAAUAUUAUUCACUCGGGUAUUCGGGACACUUUUUAUGUUGGGGAACUAUUCAUGAGUUACUAUUCACGAGUUACUAUUCAUGGGUUACUAUUCACCCAAUUACUAUUCACUCAAAUAUUGUUCACUCGGGUACUCGGGAAACUUUUCAUGUCGGGGUACUAUUCACGGAGUACUAUUCUCGAAGUACUAUUCACGGGGUACUAUUCACCGAAAAUUUUAUUUCUUUUCUGUCCAAAUUAUUUUUGAUACAUGGAUAUUAUUCUUGAAUUUUACUCCACAAAGUAGUAUCAUGUUGACAAUUUGGACAUUAUUGAAUUCUGAAUAAAUUAAAUUAUAAAUCUUUAACAAUUCAUCAUUUGCUUUCUUUUAGUUAAAUUCUUAUAUCAUUGUCAUCAUCCUCAUGCUUAUAUUGUGAUUAAAGUCAUCUUUGGCUUACGUGCAUAGAUGGACUGUUGAUUGGUAUGAUUAUGACCAGGGAUAAUUCGGUAUGAUCAUGACCAUUGAUUAUUACACGAAUAUUCUUGGCCCGUAGUGCAUGAAUAAUUUGUGGACGUGAUACUAAUGAAUAUCAUUGGCCCGUAGUGCAGGGACGAUUCGAUGAUGUGAUAUAUUUAUUAAGCUGAGUCCCAGCAAUAAAGUUAAUGAUAAACUUUUUAAAUUAUAGAAGAUAGUAGAUAUCAUGCUCUACUUGACUCUUCUAAUGGAUUGCUUGUUCCGCUGCAGUUAAACUUGUUGUCUAUUAUAUUCUAUCAGUUUAACAUUGUUGAAGGCUAAUGAUAACUUAUUCUGCAUUAUCUUAGUCAUAAUAUUUCUUACUGGGCUAGUUGAGCUCACCCUUUUACUUCAAUUGUUCUCUUCAGGAAAUGAGAACGUAGUCGGAACUAGUCGGGGGAGGGAGUGAUGGUCCGAGAUGGUGUUAUAGUAGUCCUCACUAUUUUAUAAAAUAGUGUGACAAUAAAUGUAAUGAGGACUCCAUUUGAGUUUGGAUAUUGUCUGAAAGACAAUAUUCGUGUAAAAAUCUCAGCUCAUGUUAUAUAAUUAAGUUUGUAUUUGUAUUCAGUACCAUGUAUUUGGCAACCCAAGAUGGGUGAUGUAUACCUAUUUUGGGGGCGUCACACCAAAUGACAACCGUCUAUAACAAAAUGUUCCCCAAGGCAUGAUGCAAGCAGUUUUCUCAUGAUCCUCCUCAGCAACCAUAAUCUGAUGAUACCUUGCGAAGCAAUCCGUAAAGGAGUACAUGCCGUAUUGAGCAGUAUUGUCAAUGAGAAUGUGGAUAAAUGGCACGAGAAAGCUAUCCUUAAGGCAAGCUUUAUUCAGAUCCCGGUAAUCCACGCAAACUUGCACCUUUCCUCCUAGUUUAGGCACGGGGACUAUGUUUGAUAACCAUUCAGGGUAUGUAGACACCAUGAUGAUGCCUGCUUGAAAUUGUUUUACAAUUUCUUCUUUAACCUUUAAACUCCACUCAGGUUUCAAUCGCCCAAGCUUCUUCCUGACUGGCUUGAAUCCCUUUUUAAUGGGAAGGUGAUGAAGAACAAUGUCAGUGGACAAACUCACAUGUCUUCGUGAGACCAUGCAAACACAUCCUGAAAUUGGGUUAGUAGCGUAACCAUGUCAUUCCUUUGAUUUGGAGUGAGGUCUAAACCAAUCUGGAUUAGCUUAGGGUUUUCUAAGGUUUUGAGAUUGAAAGAUGUGGUUUGAUCAAGGUUAGGUUUAGGUUUAUCUUCGACCCAUUUCUUAAUCUCCUGAGGUAUCUUAAUGUCCUCUUGUAUUUUCAUCAAGUUUGAGUAAAACUUUUCAUCAAAGUUACAGUCCUUGUGGAGAAAAGGCACCUCAUCAGCAAGUACAGGCACAUCUAAAUUCAGAGUCCUGAAACAAAAUAUGCUUUCACUUAAUAUAUGAAACUGUUCAAUCAUAUAAAGUGUUAGCAUGUAUUGAUAAAACACCUGCUAAUACUGUACAAAAAAGUAAGCAGUUAAAGUUAUUUAUAGCACUACAACAAAAAGAUACUUUAUAUGGUCGCAGAUGGGUAUCAGCGACCGUAUGCGGUCGCUGAUACUAGUCGCAAAUAAUCUGGUCGCUGGAAGGACAUCAGCGACCGAAUUAUUAGCGACCGCAAUCAGCGACCGAGACCGUCGCUAUUCUGACUUAUGCUGAGUCAUUUGUCAGGCGUGGCGUGUCACACGUGGCAGCGACCGGUAAUAACGACCGCAGCGGUCGCUAGAUUCCAAGAAGGUGACGCGGUCGCUGAUACAGUGUUAACAACCGCAUGCGGUCGCUGGUUGAUUUUUUUUUUUUUUUAAAUUUUGCCUGUUUUAUUGAUUUUCCAAAAAUAACUUGCUUUGUACCUGCUUUCAAUCCCAACACAGCAAUAUAUAUACAAGUAUCCAUAUUAACAUCCAUCCAUGAUAUAACUACUAUAUAAUAAACAUUGAUCAUCCAUGAAUAAACAUUCAUCCAAUACAAUACAAAACAUUCAUCCAACACAAUACAAUCGAUAUCGUAAACAUCCAUAUAAACCAAUACAAUUGUCCAAAGAAUGAAUCUAAAAGAGUACAAGGCUUUAAAAAUCUAAAAAAACAAGUCUAGGCGCUCUUCAUGGAUCAUCCAAAUUAGGAUCCUGUAAUUAACAAAGUAAUAAAACAUAUAUGUUAUAUAUAAGUAAGACAGUGACUCAGAGACUAUAAACAUAUAAGACAAUGUAGCUAAACAAUAAACGAUAUAUAUAUACCUGGUCCUGCUGUUGUGCUGCUGCUCCUGCUGCCGCUGCUGCCACUGCCUCCGCCAACUCAUCAGGACUCAGAGACUGCAGAUGCCCGCCCAGUAUACGAAGAAGAUCACGAUCCUGACAGAUCGCUUUCACACAGUCAGCAGGAGUAUGAUAGGUUGGAUAACCUGAUGACUGUGUAGACUAGGUGGCAGAGCUGCCUGUGCCACUGAUGGUCGGGCGCCAUCUUUGUCCUUGACCUUUGACAUAAUUUUUCUUCACGAUGGACGCCCUCUCCCAUAAUUCUUGAUCAAUCGACGGACGCGGGGUGCCUUCAGGAUAGCGCUCGUUCAUUAAGCCCUUAUAAGUGUCCUGUCAGAAGAUGAACAAUUAAAUAGUUAAAAAUAAAUAAAAAAAUACUAAAAAAGGUCGUCACAAUUUAUAAACAACAUAUUAGGAUAAAGUGAACUUAUUACCGCUAUCUGAACAGCCUCAAACAGACCAUCGCGGGUGGCCACAUACACAUCCAACCAAUUGAUAGGUUGACCUUGAGACUGAGACUCCUACAAUUCAUUUUCUCAUAUUAUUAUGUAAAUAUAUGAUAUUUUAGCUACAAAAGAUGACUGUAAACAUAACAUACGUACCUUGGCAGCAAUGUGAUGCAGCUGUGAUAUACUGCCGCCCCGAUACGUGCCUUUUGCCUUCUCGCCGUCUGAUACACCUGAGGAUCUAUUCGAGGCGGCAGUCUUGCGCCUCUUGACCCAGCUCUCAGCUCUCCACUGGUCACACAUCUGCACCCAUAUGGGCUGUGCGCACCACCAGGGGCUAUGCUCAUGCAUAUACUGCUCACCCUGUCCUAGAUGGUCAAUCUCAGCAUUGUGCAGGGCUUUUUGUCGUUCCUUGUUCAAAUUAUCUUUAGUUCGGACGGCGCACUUCUGCCAGAAUAGUGUCUGAAUAACUGAUGCAUGUGCGUCGUCCCAUCUAUACCGUUUCUGUAAAUAAAACAAAAAUAAUAAUAUUAAAACUGUUAUAUUACUAAACAAUAUUAUUUGAUUAACUAUGUAUUAUCUAUCAGAGUGAUAAAAAAAUAUACCUGAAAUUCAGCCCAAACUGCAUCCUUAUGGGCGAGAGGUGUGCUCUCCCAUGUAAUCACUGGCGUAGGCCAGUUCUGUAAGCAUAAUUGUGAAAUGCACUUCACAAUUUUACUAUCUUGAAAAUCACUACAAUAUACAAUAAUUUACAUUAAAACCCUUACAUUUAAAUCACCACUAUAUUUAUAACAAUGGAAAUAUUAAACCCUUAUAUAUACACGAUGUUUAACUUACGUGCUUUCUAGAGGAGGACAGAUCUGUAUAAAAAUGCGAUCAUCCGGAUUAGCCGGGGCCUUCGACACAUGAUUAGGGCCUCGACCCAACCCGCGCUUUCGUGCUGCAGGUUCAGAAGACAUCUAUAAAUAAAAAAUUUAGGAUGUUAGUAUGAGUUGUAAAUGAAAGGUACAUAAACAUGUCAAUGAUAUAUAGAACAUCAAGAUAUGUAAUUGUAUGUAAUACAAUUAAAAUGAAACAUACAUUUUAUAGAAAAAGACAAUAAUGACAAUUAAUGAAAUGUACAUGAAUAGAAAUUAAUUAACUAUGACAACUAUAAAUGAAAGGUACAUAAAAAUCGUAUAGAGAAAGGUACUAUAGAGAAAUGAAAGGUACUAUAGAGAAAGGUACAUGAAAAUCAUAUAGAAAAUAAUUAACUACGGCAACUAUAAAUGAAAGGUACUAUAGAGAACAUUCCUAUAUAUAAUUCAUUGUAAUACAAUUAAAACUAAACAUACAUUUUAAUGAAAAUCAUUGUCUGAGUCAGAAUCAUUUUGUACAAGUAUCGGAGAUUCAUAACCAUCUUCUUCUUUAGAUUCUGUGUCAGUGUCAGUCAAUAACUCUUCCUCAGUAUCACUGUCAUCUGACACAAUAACUGUCUCGAGAUCCAAUUCAUCAGGUUCAUCUCCACCCUCUAACUGGAUUACAUCAUUGUUGUCCUCUAUAUUUAUUAUAGGAGGUCUAUGAAGCAUCUCCUCUUGGUAGAAAUCCCCNNNNNNNNNNNNNNNNNNNNNNNNNNNNNNNNNNNNNNNNNNNNNNNNNNNNNNNNNNNNNNNNNNNNNNNNNNNNNNNNNNNNNNNNNNNNNNNNNNNNNNNNNNNNNNNNNNNNNNNNNNNNNNNNNNNNNNNNNNNNNNNNNNNNNNNNNNNNNNNNNNNNNNNNNNNNGCAACCAGCUCUAAAUUCUGCUGUAGCACCUAUCUGGGCACUUGACUUUCGUCGUCUCAUCCAACUACGAUCUGAAUAGAGGUCCAUGAUACCACGGUACCUAUGUUGACAUGAAUUAUUGUAUUCCCUUGUUAGAGUUUUACAAUUCAGCUCAAUGCCAUAUAUGUACAUAUAUAACAUGAGUGUGCAUCAUAUAUAUAUGAUUAUUCGGGAAUUGAACAAGGAUACAUGCCAAAACAAAUUUACACAGCUUGAGAUCGUUAUGAUUGUUAUGGUCUUAUGUCAUCCUACAUAUAUAUAUGAUUGUUAUGGUCUUAUGUCAUCCUACAUAUUUUAAUUGACACCAACCAACUACGGUCUGAAUAGAGGUCCAUGAUUCCACUGUACCUACUACAGACAACAUGAGCUUAUUAAUCAUAUGACUUGAGCAUACUUGUAACCAUAUGACUUGAGCAUACUUGUAAGCAUAUGACUUGAGCAUACUUGUAAGCAUGCAUAUGAUUAACAUUUGAGCAUACUUGUAAGCAUAUGAGUUGAGCAUACAUGUAACCAUAUGACUUGAGCAUACAAGUACUUUAAAGAGCUCGUUAAUCUCCCACAACAUAAAGAGCUCAUUAAUAUUAUAAAUGUUCGCAACUACCCGAUAAAUAAAUUUUUUUUGCCAUAGUCUCCCCUACAAUAUGGACUAAUCACAUGCACGACGGCAUGCAUAUAUGGUCAUUUCUAAGCACCCAAGACACAAACCAAGAGAAAUAUACAAAAUACCAAAAUAUAUAUUUCCCCAGAAUCAGACAUAGCCAUAUAAAUCUGGAAUGAAGCCAAAAUAACAAAAUAUAUAUUUCCCCAUUUAUAAUGGCAAACUUAAAGUACCUAUUUAAGUUUUAUGUAUUUGAACUCAUGUUAUAGCAAUUAUGAGUUUUUAGUUACUUAUAAUCGAUGUUUGAUGUGUUAAUCGAUGUUAAUCAAUUACUAGUUCCUUCUUUCUUUUUAGUUUUUGAAGUAUUCUUGAUAGUGAUUAUACAUUGCUUGAAUAAAUUCAGGGAGGUCGAUGUGGUAGGCAUCUUCCACUACAAGAACACAUGGCCUCUAUGCCUCGAGUUUCUCACAAGUGGUAAGAUUGACGUGAAGCCUCUAAUAACUCAUAGAUUUGGAUUCUCUCAGAAGGAGGUCAUGUUCAAUCUGUAGAUAUAGGUCCUAUCAUCUGUCUUGUGUUGGAUUGAACUUCUAAAGAAGUCUAAAGUUAGUAAUCCUUAUUGUGCUUAGAGAUAAGACCUCUGAAGAAGUUGUAAUAAAACAUGAAAAAAGAAAAUGAAAUCUAGCUUACAAAUAUAAGUGUCCUAGUUUCCAACAACUUUCAGACAAUUCUGUGUGUAUAAAUAUGGGCUCUUUUUUUCUUUUUUUUUUAGAACGAUAAAUAUGGGCAUUAGUUUUAUGUUCAUUUGAUUUUUGUGCAAGGCCCAGUUUGUUACAAGAAUGUAUUCUACCCAACCUGCCCAAAAUCCAAGUAUACUUGACAGCCAAAAAAGUAAGAGAAAUGGAGGAAAAUUAACAGCUCCCUCUUCUUCCAACAAUUUCAAUAGACUAAACUCAAGCAAUUUCUUCCAACAAUUAUCACACACCCAAAAAAAAUAAAAUUUGCCUCUAUUAUUAUCAGACCCAGUUUGCAAAUUUUCUUCAAUAAAUCAAACAAAUUCGUAGCAAACAAUAACAUACUGAUUUAAGCAUGCAAGCCAUAUUCAUUCAUUCAACUCUUUGCAAUAAAUUAACUCUUAAAACAUAAAUUCGUAGCAAACAUACUGAUUUGGAGAAGAACGAACAAAUAUAACAAACAACCAAAAAAAUUAAAGAAGAAGAACUUAAAAAGUAGCUCUUACCUCUAAAAUUAGUCUCUAAUUUGAAUAAGAAUGAACACAGACAGAACCAACUGGCCUCCCUCUUCUCUUCUCCCCCUUCUCCCUCUUCUCCGUCGCCCUAUUUGUUUUUCUUCUGCUGAAUCGAGCGAUCUGAACGCCUGAGUCUGUAAAUGUUUAAGAGAAUCAGUGACCGUCAUCAGCGACCGCCUGCGGUCGCUGAUUUUUAAUGACGUGGACGUGUUAGCGACCGCCUGGCGGUCGCUGAUAGAGAUUAGUCGCAAAAGAAAACGCGCCAGGGUUUUGCACCAAUUUUUUGGGGGGAAAUUUAUACCAGCGACCGAUCAGCGACCGCAUACGGUUGCUGAAAUUAGAUAGCGACUAGAAUCCAUAGUGGUCGCAGAUAGCGAUCGCUAUUACUAUUAUCAGCGACCAAAUAAGGCGGUUGCUGAUAUUGUUGGUCGCAGAUAGACCUUUUUCUUGUAGUGUAGGGCAGAUGGAUUUCUGCCCGUUUUACCCUUGUCGACCAAUGCAUGGAGUGUUGUUCCAAUUGUCGAGGGUAAAGUCCUGAUGGACUUCAGUAAUGGAGGGGCUAUCAUCGUCCUCCUUCUCCCUAAUGAUGACCAUGACAUCUGGGCAAUCAUCCUCUGGGGUGUAUCUAUUUGUAUGCUCAUCAUGGACAAUGAUGCGUAUGCCUAACAUCAUCCCGGCGAUGUCUUGUUUACAUCUCCGUUCCCUCUCUUCCACUCUGGGAUCAGGAAUCGGAACCACUUUUGCUUUAACCGGUAUCGGUUUGGGAAAUAGCAUAGCCAUAACAUGGGCUGGCACAUUUACUGGAGAUUGUACAAACUCAGGAUUUGCAGGUGGAGACAAUUGUUGUGUGGCUGAAGUUGAAGGAAUCUGUUUGUGCUUAUAAGGAUUCCUGUGAUUGGAGCUAGCAGAAUAGCCUAAUCCAGCUAUCCCUGUUUGACUGGGCACUUGAAUCGGGUGCUUAAUACUCUGAUGAUCUUUGCCCAACCCUUGUCCAGGUUGAUAACCCAAUGACAUCAUUUCUUGAGUAGCCGACAUAACCUAGACAGAAAUCUUGGGUGUGAGAGGUGGCGCCCCAAUGGGAUGGUAAUGAGUGUUGCUCACCUCCAGGGCAUGGAAACUGACCGGCUCAACUUCUGAAUUGAAGCUGAUUAGUGGCAUGUCACCUUGUUCAGGACAUUUCGGCUUAACAUUAACAGUAACUAGGCUAUUGUUGAUAUUGUACUUGAGUUAUUGAUGAAGGGUGGAAGGGACGGCUCCAACCAUAUGAAUCCAUGGUCUUCCCGACAGCAGGUUGUAUCCUGUGGCUAUUUUGAGCACAUAAAAGGAUACACUGAAUGUAUGCGGACAAAUCUCCACUGGUAAUUCAAUUACUCCAACGGCGUUUCGUCGGGACCCAUCAAAAGCUUUGAUAACCGUAUGACUGCUUUUGAUCCUCUUGGGGUUAAUGUUCAUCUUCUCCAAGUUAGCAUAAGGAUAAAUAUUCAGAGAUGAACCUCCAUUUAUCAAGACUCCUCCUACCAUGUAUCCGGAGGACAAAAUCGCUAUGUACAACGACUUACAAUGACCGGUCCCUUCAGCGGGUAUGUCGUUACCAGUGAAAGAUAUCACAUUGUUGUUGAAAAUGUGAUCAACCAGAUGUUGGAAUUUUUCCACAUCCACUGAUUUUGGUAAAUGGGCUUCUUCAAAGACCCUUAGCAAUAUCUUCCUGUGAUCUUCAGAAGAGAAAACCAUGUCCAGUAUGGAAAUUUGUUAUGAAGCUUCUCUCAAGCUUAAAACCACUUUGGAUUCAUUAUGGCCCAUGGUACGGAGGAACUCUUCAACCUUCUCCAUGGGAACUUUCCCAUUUGAUUUAGUGGUGGGCUUUCAUCACCCUAUGGGGAAGAUACAGUGGAUUUUCCUUCGACACUACAAUAGUUGUAUGUGAUGUAGAUCCUUCAGCCUGCCCAUAAUUCCAUGGGACUUUAUGUAGGCUAACAACAAGAUAUUGUGGUCUGAAGGGUAAGUUAAUUGGCUCUGGUGUAGCCACUUUCAAAGGAUUUUCAGUACCUUUGAGUUGAAUUGCUUGUAUUGUGAGUGGUCUAGCAGCCAAAUCAUCCUCAGCGGAUAUAAUUGCUACACCGUCCUUCCAUUUUGUAGGACAUGUGUUCCCACUCUCGAGUAACAAAGUGUCGUCAUCUGCCAUCUGCAGGACACCGCUGUCAAUUAAAUUUUGAAUGAGGUUGCGGAGUUUCCAGCAUUCUUCUAUGUUGUGACCGCGAGAGUGGGAUUGAUACUGGCACACUCCCUUAGAAUUAAACCAUCUAGAAUGGGGAUUGAUUGGAUGUAGAAGGGUUGUAAUUCUUCCUUCAUUGAUCAACAUCUGAAAUAUUUCCUCCAUAGGUUGGCCAAGGUAUGUAAAUUCCCGUUUGUUGGCAAAGUCCCGAUGGGCUUUGGCACUUGCUCUUUUCGUAACUUUAUCCUCCAUUGUUUCACUGUCUGAAGGCGAGGAUGGAAUAUUCAUGACAAAAGGAAGGAGACGAGUAUGCUCCUAACUAACUAAUUGGCAUGUGACUUGGUGUUGAUGAAUCACCAAUUCUGCCAACUGAUCUACUUGUUUGCAAAGAGCCUUAAUCUUUCGCUCCAUCAUGAAGAUUCUUCAUGAACUGUGCAUAAUCCCAUCUGUCAGCACCAUCUUUGCUGGUCUUGGAAGAUUCAACAAUGUAAUUGGAACUCUGCCCACUGCUCCAAUUAAUCAUAUUGACCUCUCUUUCUUUGUGUUAAGGAAGAGGAUUGUCUUGCAAAUGAGGUUGGUUGGGUUUAGUCACGACAAUCUCCCCAUUGUCGAUUAAGUCCUGGAUCUUGUGUUUCAAAGCCCAGCAAUCCUGAGUGUCAUGUCUCGGUGCCCCGGCAUGAUAAGAACACUUCUGAGUAGCAUUGAAACCCUUCCCAUUCGGGUUAGCUGGUGGAAAAAGAUGUGUAAUUUUCUUCUAAGUAGUCAGAAGAGUAAGGAUAUUCUCGAGCGAGUCCCCUAAGGGUAUGAACACUCGGGGGCGUUUGACUUCUCCAUCUUUAGGCAAUGGAGGGUUUAAAGAUUGUGCUUGCAAAUGGGAGUAGUUUCUCCUCAAGAUAGGGAUGUUCUGACUAAUUUUUUGACCUUAUAGUAUUAAGGAAACAUCUUCCUCUUUCUUUUUAUGGACCCUCCAGGGGUUGUUUCCAUAAGUUCCAGACUGGAUGAGCUCAGCAACUGCUUUAAGAGUGGCUAGGUCUUGAAUCUUUCCUGACUUCAAUCCCAUCUCAGCCAUCUCUCCGUGCUUGAUCAUUUCAGAAAAUGGCUUGCCAAUGCCAGCUAAGACUUUUUCAUAGAAAGGAGCUUCUUGUAUGUCUAUAAAGGUCAUGACCAUUUCUGAUUCUGUAAUGGAAGGAAUGACUUGAGUAGUAAGGCGCCUCCAUCUUUGAGCAUACUCUCUGAAAGACUCAGUAGAUUGUUUCUUGACCUUGGUAAUCUGGUACCGGUCAGGAGCCAUCUGAGAUUGGAAGCUGUACUGAGUGAGGAAGGCAUGAGCUAGUUCCUCCCAGCUAUGGAUCUUUGAGUUGUCUAAUCUAGUAUACCACGUCCGGGCUUCUCCAGUCAGACUCUUCUGGAACAGCUGCAUUCUGAGCUUCUCGUCCUCUAUAUAAGAUCUGAGUUCUCCUACGAACACCUUCAAAUGUGUAUAAGGAUCCCCUAACCCAUCAUACUUUUCAAAGUCAUGAGUUUUGACCUUCUCUGGAUAAUGAGCACCAGGGAAUAUACAAAGGUUAGCAUAAGAAACACUCUCGUGUGCUCCAAUAAAAAAAACUUAUGUAGUUUAGUCUUGGGGAAUGUAUAAAUGUUUACAUGCUAUCAUAAUGUGUCCAUUUUAGGAAUAUUAUCCUGCAAAACGGGUGACAUUUGAAAGCAUGUCAAGUCUUAAUAUGCAUAUGCAAAUAUUCUUCAUUUUUUCAAUUACGUAGAGAUGAACAUGGAAUGAAAUUACAAGUAAUUGUCUUUACAAGUAAUUGAAAAUGGAAAGCAUGAAGAGACUUUCCUCCGCGUUUGGUUUGUUAGAGGCUGACCUAUCUUAGGUUACUCUCGCGGCUUUUUGGCAUAAAGGUUCCCAGAUCAUCGCAAUCUACUCGACGGGAAGUUAAUCCGGUCUUUCAACUGGAGCGAAUCUGGGUGGUGCCUUUCCUGAGCCUCGUUGGAAUUAUUCUUCCUACGAGUCCAGUAAUCAAACACCGACAGGAUAGCCUCCUGGUGGAGGAACCACACAACAUACAUUCACAUACAACGUGUCUCACCGUUUAUGAAAAUGAUGACAUGUGCGAAGCACUAAUAUCACAGAUAGAUAUAUUGUAGUGUAGUAAGUAAAAUGCAUUCGUACACAUUCAUCAAUAAUGUAAAUCCAACAUUCACACACAAGCAUAUAACAAUUUGAAAAGCUUGUAGUAGCAGCAUAAGCCCUCUUACUGGAGUCCCCAGCAGAGUCGCCACCUGUCGACGUCGGGAUUUUUUUUUAUCGCUUUUAUGUUCUUGUUCUUUGGUGUUCUUAUGUUAUGUGAGAUAUGUUUGAAAAAAUAAGUGAAAAAGGUCCGACAUGUAUAUGUCGAGGAUUUGACUGUAAGAGUUGCCAGUUGGUGUUUUUAACUAGUUGCACCAACGCAACCGAGAAAUGGUUUUCACAUUGACCCAGUGAUGUGACACUGCUAAACGAGUCUGUGAAACCGAGAUUUAUUUGGGUUCGGGGGCUUGAUUAUGUGGAGGGAAGGUGUUAGGCACCCCUCGACAUCUGUGUUACCACGGUGACCGCCACUUUUCAAGAAACUGUUAUAUGAAUGUGUGUGUGUGUGUCUGUCAAUUUGCUGUUAUUUGGAAGUAGUGCUAUGCCUCGUUCGCACCUAUAUACACAGGGUUUGAAUUUAUACAAAAAUUCAACAAGAUAUAGCAAAGAGAUUUUGUAAAAGAGGUUUUUCAAACCCUAUGCUCAAUAGUAAUUGAGGCCUUUGAUACUUCCAUUUUAUUAUUAAAUGUUUGAAUUGGUUGCUUUUAUUUUUGAGAUGCAAAGCAUCUUCGAGGAAAUAAUAUAUAGCAGUGCCGAACUCCUCAUGGGCAUGAAAGCCAUCUAAGGAAAUUCAAACACCGUGAAUAAUUUACAAGCUACUUACAGCUAAAAAUGUCCAUCACGGGAACUGAAUCUAGAUUCAGUAGACUGAAUAUGUGAUCACAUGAUUCCUAGGCUCACAUGAUGCCGUAGUUUAUAUGAAAAGCAGUAAGCAGUUAUAUAUAUAUAUAAGUUGUAAAUAUAUAUAUACAGACAUGAUUAACCACCACGAAGCACCUCAACGGGGGAUCAGAAAUGUAAAUAUAUAAAAGCGGUAAAUAUAUAUAUAGAGACAUGAUCAGCCACCACGAAGCACCUCCACGGGGGAUCAAAAAUAAAGCAGUAAAUACGAUCAACUGCCAUGAAGUAAACUACAGGUGGGACGAAAUGUAAAUAAAACAAUAAAAGGCCACGAAGUAAACUCUAGGCUUGACAUAAAUGUGUGUAUAUAUAUAUAUAUAUAUAUGUAAGCAGUAAACGCACCGGAUUUAAAACCCAGGCUCAUCGAACAGAGUUCGACAACAAUUCAUAUAUAUAUAUAUAAGCAGUAAACGCUCCGGAUGUAAAAUCCAGGCUCAUCGAACAAAGUUUGACAACAGUUCAUAUAUUUAAGUAUAUAUAUAUAUAUAUAUAUAUAUAUAUAAGUAUAUAUAUACAAACAGAAAUGAAAACCACGGACCGAAGUUCGGGCAUACACACACAACACGACUCUCAACGUGAAAAAGAGUGUGUGCAAAGAUGAAGAGAAAGGCUUUAUAGUGUGUAAGAAGGCUUACAAUGGGCUGCCAAAGAAGACUUCUAUAGCUUUAAGUGGAUGAAAACUCGGCUCUCGCCGGUAAAAAUAUAGCUAUAUGUGAGCUUACAAGUGUUUAAAAUGAGAAAGCGCUCAAUAUAGGGUGUGUAUAGAGCAAAUUUGAGAGGGCUUCCUCGCCUUUUUUCUCUUGAAUAUGGCCACCCCAAGCCCUCUGUUUAUAGAGGGGGGAGCCGCAGGUGUACCUGCGGCAGCUGCAGAUGCACCUGCGGCUGCCCGGGGUUCCCCGGGCUCUGCGGGUCUCGCCAUCUCGAAGUACGUGCAUGCGUGCAACGUGAUGUCCGUUCAAACUUGCAGAACUUCAAUCCGAGCAUCCGAUUGAGGUGUAUAAGACCUGUUUCGGACUGCCAUUGUUGAGAGCUACGCAAUGACAUGGGAUUAGAGGUUGUACGAAGUCAGGAAGAUGGAACCACGUCCUAACUCUUCAGGCUUCAAAUUCUAUCCGGUGUUCUGCCUUGCGUAGUAGUCACUCAGGAUUGUAACUCCUUAGUUCUUGUGGGACAUUAUUGUGUAGAAUGUAUGUUGACUGUUGUUUAUUGAGACGAAGCCAUAUGGGGUUGAGGUGGCAAUUAGAUGAUUUUUCCCUUCACCGGGGUUAUCUCCGUUUUUGGCUGAUAAAGCAGACGUUGCUCAGGAUUAUCUCUGAGAUUGGGCUGCUGCAAGUGUUGAAUGCCCUCGGGGUUGUCUCUGAGGUGUGCAUGACCUCCUGAGGUUAUCUCCUGGUUUGGGAGUUGAGUGCCUCGGUGCGAGUCCCGAGGUUGAAGCUUACUGCAUGGGUUGAAACGAGCAUCUCCGGGGUUAUCUCCGAAAUUGCAACUGCACUCCUUGAGGUUAUCUCCAAGGUUGACAUUGUCUUUCUCGGUGUUGUUUCCAGGACUGAGAUUGAAAAUCUCGGGGUUAUCUCCAAGAUAAAUCAGCCUUCUCCGGUGAAAUUUCUGGUAUUUACACUGCUAUCCCCGGGGUUAUCUUCGAGGUGAGAAAUGAUACUCCCGGUGUAUUUUCCGGGGUUGAAACUGAACUUCUGGUGGUAUUUUCGGGAUUAAGCUGAGCUGUCUUCCAGGGUUAUCUCUGAAAGAAGAUUCCGCGCUUCCUGUAAUGUUAGUAACUGGUUGACAAAAAAUUUCGAGUGUCUACACCACUCUUGUAUAGUGGAUGUGAUUUCUUGAAUUCCAAUUCCUAAUGUUGAACUGUCUUAUUUCAAUUACUUUGUAAAAGUUAUUAUCAUGUUGAGAAUUUUUUUUUUUAACUUUUUAUUAAUUAAUACAUGUUCAGUAAUUCCAUUUCUUAUUUAAUAAGAUUAUAGCUUUAGUUUAACAUUUUUCCAGCAAGGUUUAUUAUUUUAUUCAAUACUUAUGCUUUUGGUUAUUUCCAAGCAUGCUUACGAUUUUUAAACAUUUUACCUUAAACUGUUAUUGAUCACUCGUAGUGCUGUUAAAUCUUGUUGAUUCAACUAAUCCCUUAGUUGAUGGUCGUGAAACCCUAAAUUACCUUUGAAGCUUAUCCAAACCAAACUUUCUUUGGUGUGGACUUGUACUCUAAAAAUUGAGAAGAACAACCAUAUAUCAAGGGAUUAUUUUAAACGUACGCAAUGGCGUUAAAAUAUUAGCGUAAUACAUAGUACAAAGGGCUGAUCACCUGGAGUACUAGAUGAUUGUCCAUAUAGUCGUUUAGACUGUUAAAGGUUAUAGUAAAAACACAUGUUAACCUAGGACAUAGAUGAUAAUUAUAGUCUUCUAGACUGUUAAAGGGUAAAGUAGAAAUACUUGACAACAUAUAGUAUAGUUCAUGGUCUUGUGACCCUCAAUUACAUUUUGUAUGUUGAUAUCAGUUUUUAAUUAUCAUUGACUGAGUAUUAUUUAACUCUGAUGAGCUUAUUCAUUAGCAAUUAUUAUGCUAUUGUUAUUCAUUGCUAUUUCCAGUGAGCAUUUGUGUUGCUCACUCUUGUAUAAAUGCAAUUAUUGCAGCUAAAGUUGAGAAAGUUGAUGAACCUACCACUAACAAGGGAAAAGGGAAAAUGAACAAGUGACGAAGACUUGUAAUUUACUUAUUGUUAUGAUGAUAGACUUUAUAUUUAAUAAUGUGAUGCAAUUAUUUUAUUUCCGCACUUGAUUGAUGUAAAGGUUAGAUAACCUGGGAGACUUUUUGAUUAAUGAUGUAAUCCUUUUAAUGGGAGGAUUUAUGGUUUAGUUUUAUUAUAUUUUGGUAGUUAGAUAUGAAUGAAUGGAAAUGAACACCAAAUCUUGUGGGAAUGAAGUACCUGGAUUUGGCUUUUUUUAAGACGUAUUAUGGCUUUAUCAAAUCUAAUCUUUACGCAUACUGUUAGUUGGCCUAUAUUGAUACUGAGAAAGGAAGAAGAGAAAUAUAGAGAGAAGUUGAGAGAGAAUACAGAGGGAGUGAGAGAAAGUAUUAGAAUUUCAAAGUAAUUUUUGGGUUUUUAGCAAGGAUUGUUCAAGCAAUUGAAGGUAUUUCCAUAGUCUUAAUAUUAUAUAUGUAUAUAUAUGUGUUUUACGGCAUAAAACUUUAAGUUCUGUGAAUUCAAUUUUUUUGAAUUGUUGAUAUACAACUGAUAACUUGUGAUUAUAUGUAUUUGUGAUGUUAGAGUUUGUAUUUAGACAAGAAUUAGUAUGCUAAUUACGUUUAAAAAGGUAUAGAAGUAAUUAUAGUACAUAUUUAGAUAUAUGGUUUGUGAAAGUACCAAAUUUGGUGGUUAAAUUCUAAGCUAAUCUAUAAAUUGAGCCUUGAAUAUGCUAGUCCAUUAAGAAAUGAAUAGAACGUAGUUUGAAUGAGUUAAUUUUGACAGGAAUUGUGAUCACAGUGAUGAUUUUUGUGAAGGAUGUCAAAAAUAGAGUUUUGUAUGAAAACAUGAAAUUUAAGGAUUUAAAUUAGUUGAAGUUGUUGUUUAAUUGUUCUAAGUUGGUGAAUAUGUGAGGAAUCAUGUUUGUGUUAGUUCUAUACCAAUUACAUAUGUUAAAUUUACUAUUAUGUGGGUGAAAUUCGUGUUAGUUGGGCUAAAACAGAGUACUGUAACAGACUACGUAGUUUCUGUCUGUGCACCAGCGCAGCUGCGCUGGUGUCAAGGCCAGAAAUGGUAACAUAUGUGCUUAUGCUUUUGGUUAUUUCUAAGCAUGCUUACGAUUCUUAAACAUUUUACCUUAAACUGUUAUUGAUCACUCGUAGUGCUGUUAAGUCUUGUUAUUUCAAAUAAUCCCUUAGUUGAUGGUCAUGAAACCCUAAAUUACCCUUGAAGCUUAUCCAAACAAAUCUUUCUUUGGUGCAGACUUGUACUCUAAAAACUGGGAAGAAUAACCCUAUAUCAUGGGAUUAUUUUAAACUUACGGAAUGUCAUUAAAAUGUUUGCGCAAUACAUAGUACAAAGGGCUGAUCACUUAGAGUACGAGAUGAUGGUCCAUAGAGUCGUUUAGACUGUUAAAGGUUACAGUAAAAACACCUGUUAACCUAGGACAUAGAUGAUGAUUAUAGUCUUCUAGAAUGUUAAAAAUUAAAGUAGAAAUACUUGACAACCGAGAGCAUAGUUCAUUGUCUUGUGACCCUCAAUUACAUGAUGUAUGUUAAUAUCAAUUUUUGAUUAUCAUUGACAGCGUAUUAUUCAACUCUGAUGAGCUUAUUCAUUAGCAAUUAUUAUGUUAUUGUUAUUCAUUGCUAUUUCCAUUGAGCAUUUGUUUUGCUCACUUUUGCAUAAAUACAAUUAUUGCAGCUAAAGUUGAGAAGGUUGAUGAACCUACCACUAGCAAGGGAAAAGGGAAAAUGAACAAGUGAUGAAGACUUGUAAUUU
rnacentral:lncRNA from 1 species